rnacentral:tmRNA from 1 species
GGGGGCGUUUUGGUUUCGACUGGAUUCCGGCAACGCUGGCUGCAUGUAGAGGUUGAUCGGUUGGCCUCUUUAAAAAGCCGUUCACAACAAUAAUUGCAGACUCUAACGAGCUCGCACUUGCUGCUUAAUUGACAGCAACGGCCCCCCAGUAAUGUCUGUUAGCUGGGCCGCCGACUACUUAACAGGCUGGCUAGCCAAGCCGGGGAUCCGGGCGAAGCGGCGAGAAUCCACAGGGUCAUCGGAAGAGAGGACGGGCUAGAUGAGGCUCUCACUUCUUAAAGCAGCAAACGUCUAGCUAAACAUGUAGAAGCUUUCGUGAAAAGUUUCCAGGACAGGGGUUCAACUCCCCUCGCCUCCACCA